CUAAAUCUCCCUGCGUCGGGCACUUUUGUUUGGCUCUGUUGCCAUCGUCCCCUUCCAUCGCCUCUCCCCAUCGCCCUGGAAGUUUCUUUGGAUGCAGACUUCCUCAUUACAAGGCUGGUCCCUUCGGAAAACAGGCCUUUCUGCCUGCCUGGAGUCAUCUGGAGAGAAAUCAAGUGUGAGCACCUCUCCCGCAGAAAGUUCUUGCAAGGUUCCAGUCGACUAAAUGAGCUUGCCUUCUGCCAGGAGUAAGGCAGUCCUGCAAGACAGAACCAAAGUGCCAUUCCCCAGGAAGCUCUUCUUUGUCAGAACAUCCCUGGUCCUUUUGCUUUUGUUUCUGAAUUAAAAAGAUGUGUUUGCCUGCC
rnacentral:lncRNA from 1 species